GACGAACGCUGGCGGCGUGCUUAACACAUGCCAGUCGAACGGUGAAGGGACCGGUUUUUGCUGGUUCUGGAUGAGUGGCGAACGGGUGAGUAACACGUGAGUAACCUGCCCCCUUCUUCUGGAUAACCGCAUGAAAGUGUGGCUAUUACGGGAUAUUCUGCGCCUGCUGCAUGGUGGGUGUGGGAAAGAUAUUGUUUCGGUGGGGGAUGGGCUCGCGGCCUAUCAGCUUGUUGGUGGGGUGAUGGCCUACCAAGGCGGUGACGGGUAGCCGGCCUGAGAGGGUGGACGGUCACACUGGGACUGAGACACGGCCCAGACUCCUACGGGAGGCAGCAGUGGGGAAUAUUGCACAAUGGGCGCAAGCCUGAUGCAGCGACGCCGCGUGAGGGAUGGAGGCCUUCGGGUUGUAAACCUCUUUCGCCAGUGAAGCAGGCCUGUCCCUUUUGUGGGUGGGUUGACGGUAGCUGGAUAAGAAGCGCCGGCUAACUACGUG
rnacentral:rRNA from 1 species